AUGCGAUAAGUAGUGUGAAUUGCAGAAUUCAGUGAAUCAUCGAAUCUUUGAACGCACAUUGCGCCCCUUGGUAUUCCAUGGGGCAUGCCUGUUCGAGCGUCAUUUGUACCCUCAAGCUUUGCUUGGUGUUGGGCGUCUUGUCUUUUCCGUUUGUGAUUAGACUCGCCUUAAAGUAAUUGGCAGCCAGUGUUUUUGGUAGUAAGCGCAGCACAAUUUGCGUCUUGGUCCCUAAACAGUGGCAUCCACAAAGCCUCUUUUUCACUUUUGACCUCGGAUCAGGUAGGGAUACCCGCUGAACUUAA
rnacentral:misc_RNA from 1 species